CUUGGGUCUGGAUUACCUCCAAUUCCAGCAUUGUUGUACAUUAUAUCGAGCUUUCCAUACCUGGAGACCGCUAAAUCCACAGCAUUUUUUACAUCAGAGUCGCUACUUCCAUCACAGUGAGCAUAAGAAAUGGUUUCUGGAGAGGUGAAUUCUUGGCAUGGUUUCUGGAGAGCUGAAUUCUUGGCAGAGCGAUAGCCCAAGAUCAUCUUGUACAUCUGCAAUCAGAACUUUGGCUCCAUGUUUUACAAAUAGCCUGGCCGUACACUCUCCA
rnacentral:lncRNA from 1 species